UAGGGAUACCCGCUGAACUUAAGCAUAUCAAUAAGCGGAGGAAAAGAAACCAACAGGGAUUGCCUCAGUAACGGCGAGUGAAGCGGCAACAGCUCAAAUUUGAAAGCUAGCCUUCGGGUUCGCAUUGUAAUUUGUAGAGGAUGCUUUGGGUAAAACGCCAGUCUAAGUUCCUUGGAACAGGACGUCAUAGAGGGUGAGAAUCCCGUAUGUGACUGGAAAUGUUAACCUAUGUAAAGCUCCUUCGACGAGUCGAGUUGUUUGGGAAUGCAGCUCUAAAUGGGAGGUAAAUUUCUUCUAAAGCUAAAUAUUGGCGAGAGACCGAUAGCGCACAAGUAGAGUGAUCGAAAGAUGAAAAGCACUUUGGAAAGAGAGUUAAAAAGCACGUGAAAUUGUUGAAAGGGAAGCGCUUGCAAUCAGACUUGUUUAAACUGUUCGGCCGGUCUUCUGACCGGUUUACUCAGUUUGGACAGGCCAGCAUCAGUUUCGGCGGCCGGAUAAAGGCUCUGGGAAUGUGGCCUCCACUUCGGUGGAGGUGUUAUAGCCCAGUGUGUAAUACGGCCAGCCGGGACUGAGGUCCGCGCUCGGCU
rnacentral:rRNA from 1 species